rnacentral:pre_miRNA from 1 species
GCAUUCUAUCCUUCAUUCCACCGGAGUCUGUGCCUUUAUCCAAACAGAUUUCAGUGAAGUGAAGUGUAAGAGACA